rnacentral:rRNA from 1 species
AUUGAACGCUGGCGGCAUGCUUUACACAUGCAAGUCGAACGGUAACAGGGCGUAAGGUCCUGACGAGUGUCGCACGGGGGUGUAAUGUAUCUGAACGUGCCCACUCGUGGGGGGUAACUAUUCGCGAGAGUAGCUAAUAUCCCACACACUCUGUGGGUGAAAGCGUGGGGGCCCAAGGCCUCGCGCGCAUCGGGCGCGCGAUGUCUGAUUAGGUAGUUGGUGGGGUAAAGGCCCACCAAGCCAACGAUCUGUAGCUGGUCUGAGAGGACGAGCAGCCACACUGGGACUGAGACACGGCCCAGACUCCUACGGGAGGCAGCAGUGGGGAAUUUUGGACAAUGGGCGCAAGCCUGAUCCAGCAAUGCCGCGUGUAGGAAGAAGGCCUUCGGGUUGUAAAGUGCUUUUGUACGGAAAGAAACCGCUCUGGUUAAUACCCGGGGUUAAUGACGGUACCGGAAGAAUAAGCACCGGCUAACUACGUG